GAGGCGCCGUACCCGUGCCACCUCAGUCGACGUCAAGCCGUCGCGACGACGCGUGCGUGUUCUAUUCUAGUCGUCGGUAUCACGGAACUCGCGAGAUUCGCGUGUACCGCGCGCAACGUGACUUGCCGAGCGUGUGCCCACCUGUUCGCAUCGGUGGACGUGAUUGCGAAGGGUGGUCCCCCUUGCGUGCGUUCACGGCAAGUGUGUCCCCCUUUUCUUCCGGUUGUUGUCCCUUCUCGCCAGACGAGUGCCCUCGGCUACUCCACGAAAUCGUCUCCACGCGCGUGGCUGCGAGAAUUGUCCGAGAGGAUAUCGCGAAGUACUCAUUGACCUGUGCCGCGGUGAGGUCUCGACGAUGAAAAGCACGGCUGUCCGAGCGUUUCAGUCGUCUCGCGAUAAAUAGGAGAAUCGCCGAAGGGUAACAUACAAAGCAAUCUUGUGCACAACUGACUUGUGUUGCAGUACCAUCGGAUUGUAUCGUCGUCCAACGACAAACACGCAGUUCACCUGAUUCGCUAAGUCAAGUUUUGCUUUGCGUUGACUCGCGUUUUUGAACGCCGAAAGGAUUAUUGAAGACGAAUUGUUACGUCUACUGGUCCGUCGCGAUAUUAUCUUGUUUGCGCGGUCAUCCUCCUGACGAAGGACGCGACGGUGUUCCGAUAAUCUCGAUAGUAAUCGAGUAACACAUCGAUUACUGACGCGCAAGAUAAUCAUCGUGGAGGAUUAAGAGCAGCUGGAAUUCCCAUCUAAACGUGAUCGCACGAUGAUUUGUAACAUGCCGACGUGCCCACGUUGAUAACGUCGCCCACUGAGAAACCAGACGCAUCCCUCGUGGAGAAACUCACGGAGAAGGCAGCGGUGCUCCGGAAAGGCUCGUUGAUUACACCGGUGAAAAACAACUUUGGAUUAUGACUAUUGGAUGACGAUUGACAUGGCGACGUCGUAAAAUCGACGCGGCUCCACAUUCUUCAUGGCGAUAUCACAAGUGAUAUCGCAAGAGAAAUGAUCGUUGUGGGACUCCGCGACAAACGUGCUCCUUAACGCGAUUUGUCUGUCCAAUACGUCGCCAAACAUCGUCAUGGCGCGUCUGGAUCGCGCAUGAAAGAUCGCACGCCACUUCAGAGACCACUUCGUCGACGAUCCGAGAUAAGCUGGUGGCCCGACGUCUGAUAGUAUCUGGUAGUCUGAUACUAUCUAACACAGGUGGAUUCGGGUGCAUCGUAAUAAAAAAGAAAGAGAAAAAGACGCGAGCAGCAUAAGCGGGAGAAUUGCGCGAAUGCCAAGUUCAUCGCCGACGUGGCAGAAAAAUACACGAGUGUCGUAAAAAAGGCAUACGAGGGAUGCGUCCCACAGACGAAGGGUGGGGUCUUUGGGUUCCGAUAAGGCUUAUCCGGAGAUACGAUGGUUGGCAACUGCGCUCGUCGAGUCGUCAGUCGUAGUACUCAGGUACCGUCGACGAGAUCGUCGCGCCGCUCAGGUCACAGUGAUCUCGCGUUUCGCGCAUCAUUCUGCAGUUCCGAGGAGAUAUCUUGAAAGUGUCACUUCCAGACCAGGUGUCCAGUGGUACCGCGUGAGUCUAAGAGGGUUUCGUAUUCACACCCGCAGCUGGAUCGUGUCACAGAGAAUCUCAAAAGACGCUCCAAUAUCCGUCUGGGGUCUAAACUAUACGAACGGCAGGUUGGAUCGAUCGUCUAUCAGGCGCCGCUCGAAUUGAUCAAGACUUGAACGAGACCAGUCUUUUCGGCCGCGUGCUUUCGUGUUGUCGGUGUGUUUAAUUCACGUGAUGAGUGUGUGCGCCUCGUGCUAAGAUUUCGAAUCGUUUCUAAGCGCGAACGUGAUUUGUGAAUCAAGAUAGUGUCCCGUGCUGCCGUUCGCAGUUCGUCCGAGACCCUAGAAGCAGCUUGUUCGUGCACGUACGGUAGAGUUUGAGGGUUGACACCUUCAAACCGCAAGCGUACAAUAAUCCUGUCUUCCUCAAGGAUAAACGAAACCGAGCGAAGGAGGCACCGACAACCGGUCGCCAAACGAACUCCCAUGAAAAUGCUACAGUCACUGAACACUCUGGCGGGUAAAAUCUCGCCAGGCUCUCCCACCGACAGCAACGCCAACAAGGUGCACAUGCAUAACAACAACAAUAAUAACAACAACGUGGUGCAUCACCAUCCCUACUCCAAACAGCAGACCCAGCCGUCCCCGUCGCACUCGGCCAACGGCGACCAGAAGGAAAAUACUAUAAUGAACAACAACAGUGUGGAGCAGCCAGAUCCAGAUAACAUAAAGAUGUUCGUCGGACAGGUACCUCAUGAUAUGGACGAGAAUGACCUGAGGACGAUGUUUGAGGAAUACGGUCGAGUGCAUCAGAUAAAUAUUCUACGGGAUAAGAUCACCGGCAGCCAUAGGGGAUGUUGCUUCGUAACCUUUUAUACCAGAAAAGCAGCUUUAGCAGCGCAGAACGCUCUUCACAACGUCAAAACCUUCACGGGGAUGCGCCAUCCAAUCCAAAUGAAGCCAGCCGACAGCGAGAAUCGGAACGAGCGCAAGCUGUUUGUUGGCAUGCUAUCGAAAAAAUUCACGGAAAACGACGUUAGGAACAUGUUUAGCGCUUAUGGAAUGAUCGAGGAAUGCUCGGUGCUGAGGGACAGUACCGGGAAAAGUAAAGCCUGUGCCUUCGUUACCUUCGCUAGUAAGCAGUACGCGAUCAAUGCCAUCAAAGCUCUGCAUCAUUCCCAGACAAUGGAGGGCUGUUCGUCGCCAUUAGUCGUAAAAUUCGCCGACACGCAAAAGGAAAAGGACCAGAAGAGAAUGCAGCAACUCCAGACGAAUCUUUGGAACAUCGCGGGAGUCAACAUCACACCGCAUUACCUAGCCAACGAUGCGCAUACGUUAGCGCCUGCAUCGUUGCAGCUUCUGCAACAAUUGCAAGCGACGACCAGUGCCGCAACUCCAGUCGCCGCAAACGCGGGAGCGGCGAAUGCAUUGUCGAAUGUGCAACAUCAAUUACUGCUGCAACAACACCUUGGCCUUGGUGCAGCAACUCCUACACACGCGGCACCCCCUGCUGUGCCGAGUCCAGCAGAAAUCAAUCCCGCGAAUCUGCAAAGCCUAGCUACCCUCGCGUCCCUUAGUAACACCGCUGGUGAGUAUGCGAACGCAGGCGUGUCGCCAAUGAGUAUGCAGAACCUCGUCACUCUGGCAGCUAUGACCGGCGGAAACGGCAAUCUCCAGGUGUCGCCAAACACAUUAAGCGGCCUGGCGAAUUCGACAGCAGGUAUGUCGCUAUCUGCUCUUCUGGGAAAAACAGGAAAUACAGGGUCUACCGGAGGCAGUCUUAGUCCUGUAACAUCUCUCACGCUCAAUUCCUUGACGGGGACGCCGUUAAACGGACUUCAGGACUCGCUAAGCAACGCCUAUUCCAGCUUACAACAGUAUGCAGCUCUCAUUGGAAAGACGACGGUGACCGUGGAAAAGAAAGAGUUGCAUAGGUUCCCCGCGUUCACAGCAGCUGCGGCCGCUGCAGCGGCGGCAGCGCAAAAGACGAAGUUUACCAACACGGACAAGCAAAUUGAGGGUCCCGAAGGUUGCAACCUGUUUAUCUACCAUCUGCCGCAGGAAUUCAGUGACACGGACCUCAUCUCUACCUUUUUGCCCUUCGGCAACGUCAUAUCCGCCAAAGUUUUCAUAGAUAAGCACACGCACAUGAGCAAAUGCUUCGGUUUCGUGUCGUAUGACAAUGCGUCGAGCGCGCAAGCAGCGAUCCAAACGAUGCACGGUUUCCAGAUUGGCAUGAAGCGAUUGAAGGUCCAAUUGAAACGGUCCAAGGACGCCUCCAAGCCGUACUAGCUGACGUCACAGAACGUUCAUAGGUAGAUACCAAGGACUUCUCGGACACCUUGGCCCGACAAUAUCCUUAGUCGGGACAACACUCGUGCAUUUAAUUAACAACCGCGAUGGUUGAUAAUUAUUCAGGAGCGAAAUCGCGUUUAGCGAUAGGUCUAGGUAGACAAGUGAAAAGUAUUAGGUGGCAGUAUUCCACGAUACUCUCUAGUCAAGCAGUAUUUUCCACGAAGGUAGCGAGUUAACCGGCUACGAUCGAGCGUUCUCGGACGCCGAAGAGGAGACGUCGCCGCUCGACACCUUCGCCGUCCUAUUGAAACGAGGCUGUGAUAAUCCAGAAGACUCUCUUGUCUCCGUCGGACUGACUUUUCUUCCGAGGUGGCCUGUGACGUUGUGACCGUGUACUCUCGAUCGGAGUCGCCGUGCCAUGUCAGUCUCAGUCAGUCAAAUCGGUAUCGGUUGUUCGCUCGACCGGUCACGAUCAAUCAGUCACGAUUCCCCGGUCAGUCUCUCGGUCAGUCUAUCUGUGUCUGUCGGUGCCUGUACAAAGAACAACAUCCGCCCACGCUCUCACUUCUGCCAUAAGCUCCUCCGCCUUGUCGACCUCUUCUAUCUAUCUUUUCAUCUCAUCUCCUCGACCUCUCGCGUGCCCAUAUCGCCCAUCCACGAAGUCGCGAUGUCGUUCAUACCUUGCGAUCGCACUGAGAAGAUCAUCUCGCCGAUUCUCAAAUGGUCGCUCGUCCUCCUGAUCGCAGCUGCACAUAUAAAACAUCGGAAGAAUCUUUGGACACACACAGGAGAAUUCACGACGUUGGGCGAACGAAAAGUCGUGACCGAGAUAAUGGUGCGCAUGAAUUGCAGAAGAACACGAUGAACAAGGUCGAGAAAGUGGAACGAAAAGGAGGACGGUGCACCGACGACCGACCUGGGCUCCUCGAAUGAAGCUAACGCGUUAUGUUAACUGUCUGUCCAAUUUCUCUCCCCUGUGUAUAUAUACAGAUAUAUAUGUAUAUAUAUGUAUAUGUGUGUGUAUAUAUAUAUAAAAUGCAUAUAUGUACAUAUACAUAUAUGUGUACGUGUGUAUGAUAUGUACGUGUGUUUGAGAGCGCGAUGAGGAUUUCCGUGGUUAACUAACGGUAGGCGACGACACACCACGUCUCACGGUAAACGAGGACAGGCGAGGAACGUGCAGCACGAGCUGUGCGUAAAAUUUUUCUUAUACAUAACUAUACAUAUACAUAGUUAUAUACAUAUAUGUUCAUAAAUCGAAUUAACGACUGACAACUAUUUUUAUCGGCUCUACUAUCGGGAUCGCUGUCAACGCCUCGCAGCGCCUGUUUAUAUAUAUAUAAUUAUACAUACGCAUAAGUGUGUAUGUAUCGCGGCAAAUUUGGUCAACAUGUAGACAAGAUAAAUGUGUGUAUAUGAGAAAGUAUGAGAAACGGAGGCUAGAAAGGGAAACGCGAAAGGACGAACAAUGAUCAUGCGGGACCGACACGCGUGCGAUUUCUUAGGCUUAAAUCGUGCAAAUAUAUACCAAAAACGAAACAGAUACAAAGAAUUAGACAAAAGAAAAAGAAAACAACCGAUAGAUAGCGAAGAAACGAAUAUAUGUAAGAGAUUUUGUAGUAAUGACUCUCUUUGUGAUAAGAUUGUAUUGUACCAGGGGACCGUGGUCUCAAAGUGAAACUGGGCCGGACUUGCUCAGGAAUAGUACAUCAGGCGUCACACAUUCGUGCAUCCAGUUCUGUAUUACCAUCAAAAACACUUCGCGAAUGUAGACAAGUAUGCGAGAUGUAACAAAUUUUUAAUAAAUUUUAAUAUCGGACGAGUUUCCCGACUGCACGCUUGCAUCGUCUUCUUCGUCGAAUUCAUGAAUUGCACUUUAUACGAUUAAUCUUGGAUUUUCACGAAAGUGAAAUUAAGUAUGGAAUCGAUCGGAUGGGUUGCCUUGAUCGACUCAAUGAGCUAAAACUCUCAUCGAUGUGAUAUACAAAAAACGGAAAUGUAAAAUGGAUUAUUGUAAUACCUGCGAAACAAUUUCGCAAUAAAAAAAAAA